rnacentral:rRNA from 1 species
GUGCAGCAGUCGCGAAUCUUCCACAAUGGACGAAAGUCUGAUGGAGCGACGCCGCGUGCGGGAUGAAGGCCUUAUGGGUUGUAAACCGCUGUCAGGGGGGAAGAACAUCGGAAUGAACAAUACUCAUUCCGACUGACGUUACCCCCAGAGGAAGCUCCGGCCAACUCCGUGCCAGCAGCCGCGGUAAUACGGGGGGAGCAAGCGUUGUCCGGAAUUAUUGGGCGUAAAGGGCGUGUAGGCGGCGAGGUAAGUCGAAUGUGAAAUCUCACGGCUCAACCGUGAAACUGCGUUCGAAAACUACCCUGCUUGAGUACGGGAGAGGUGUACGGAAUUCCUGGUGUAGCGGUGGAAUGCGUAGAUAUCAGGAA